rnacentral:rRNA from 1 species
UAAUUUGACUCAACGCGGGAAAUCUUACCAGGUCCGGACACACUGAGGAUUGACAGGAAGUAUCGUCUUUUGAAUUCUUUAAGGAUAUGUCGUUUUUAAUGACAUCUUUUAGAUGGAUGAUUCGUGUAAAUAUGCUAGUUCUUUCAUGAUUAUGUGAUAGGUGGUGCAUGGCCGUUCUUAGUUCGUGGAGUGAUCUGUCUGCUUAAUUGCGUUUCACUAAGGCCCCAAAGUUAGCAAAUUAUCAAUCGUUACAGAGUCGACCCCUCACCUUUGAGUGCGCGUCCUAACUUGUAGUACAUGGUGUAAAUGGAUUUGUUUUGGGUACCCAGAAAGCAACGAACGUGACCGCAACGUCUUGUUGUCUCUCUUUGACAGUUAUGGGUUAUCCCAGUCAUGUGUUUAUACUUUUAUGUGUAAAUACGUACGACACAGAGACUAGAUACCAAACUAGGCGUACCGCUGUAUCUUUCUUUAAACCAGAGGAAGGUUGCGGCAAUAACAG